rnacentral:rRNA from 1 species
UACGGAGGGUGCAAGCGUUAAUCGGAAUUACUGGGCGUAAAGCGCACGCAGGUGGCUGAGUCAGUCGAUUGUGAAAGCCCUGGGCUUAACCUGGGAAUUGCAGUCGAUACUACUCAGCUAGAGUAUGGGAGAGGGCAGUGGAAUUCCCGGUGUAGCGGUGAAAUGCGUAGAUAUCGGGAGGAACAUCAGUGGCGAAGGCGGCUGCCUGGCCCAAUACUGACACUCAGGUGCGACAGCGUGGGGAGCAA